GACCUACUCCCUUUGUUCGGAAUUACUUGUCUCGGAUAUGGAUGUAUCUAGAACUAAAAUACAUCUAGAUACAUCCAUUUCUACGACAAGUAAUUCCGAACGAAGGGAGUAGUAU
rfam:Triticum aestivum genome assembly, contig: Triticum_aestivum_CS42_TGACv1_scaffold_645332_T_4AL-0.240568_2AS-0.122236